rnacentral:piRNA from 1 species
UAGGUUGCGCACUACGGACUAAUGGCAAAC